rnacentral:pre_miRNA from 1 species
AAAAAGGCAAACCCUGGGUUUCUGUGUCCAACUUUAACUGUCUGUCUUAUAUGAAAUUUUUUUAUAAUUCGUAUUUUCAUUGUUGUUAGAUGAUAAAACAUGAUUAAUAUUUUAUGCGUGACUUGUCUUUUUAAUUUUUUUUCAUAAUUUUUUAAUAAGAUGGACGGUCAAAUGUUGGGCACGGAAACCAGGGUUUGUCUUUUU